GAUAAGGAGCUUGCUCCUUUGACGUUAGCGGCGGACGGGUGAGUAACACGUGGAUAACCUACCUAUAAGACUGGGAUAACUUCGGGAAACCGGAGCUAAUACCGGAUAACAUAUUGAACCGCAUGGUUCAAUAGUGAAAGGCGGCUUUGCUGUCACUUAUAGAUGGAUCCGCGCCGUAUUAGCUAGUUGGUAAGGUAACGGCUUACCAAGGCAACGAUACGUAGCCGACCUGAGAGGGUGAUCGGCCACACUGGAACUGAGACACGGUCCAGACUCCUACGGGAGGCAGCAGUAGGGAAUCUUCCGCAAUGGGCGAAAGCCUGACGGAGCAACGCCGCGUGAGUGAUGAAGGUCUUCGGAUCGUAAAACUCUGUUAUCAGGGAAGAACAAAUGUGUAAGUAACUGUGCACAUCUUGACGGUACCUGAUCAGAAAGCCACGGCUAACUACGUGCCAGCAGCCGCGGUAAUACGUAGGUGGCAAGCGUUAUCCGGAAUUAUU
rnacentral:rRNA from 1 species